AUCCAGGCUCAUAACUACGACCCCGAGAUCUACAGCAGGGCCCGGAGCAGGAUGGAGCUGUCUGACAGUGACUCUGCCCGAACUGCAGCCUCCCUCGCACACCGUACUUUUCCCUUGGCUAUGGCCAGCUGGCAGAGCUUUUCAGGACUGGCUCGGGCUGAGGUCAUCGGAAAGGUAAGGCCAGUGCUGGGGUUCUGCACUGUGACGCUGCUACUUCGCUUUUCCGAAAGGAAAAGGCUCUUCCAAAGCCUCCCUUGCCAACCUUAGCAAGUCAGAGAUACUUUGGAUAUUUUAGUGCCCUGUUCCUCUGUCUUCCUUUAUCUGAUGGGAAGUUCAGGCCUGUCCUGGUUCGCAGCUUUCACUGUUACCACAGGAACAAAAAGGUGCUGAGUCCCCACAGCCCUGCUUAGGAGACCACGGGUAGUGGUGUUGAAGUGAUGCCCAUGGGAUUUCUCCCUGCAAGGACAGAAGUGCAAGAUCCAGUGUCAGUCUCAUCCUCACUGAAACUGGUGACAGUGCGGGCACUGAUGCCACUUGGAGUAAGCUGGCUCAGCAUUUUCCCCAGCUCCUCAGAGGAAAGGAAAUGAAACAAUGUGCCUAAAUUAAGGUGGUGCUUUUGUCAGCGCCUGAACUGAGCACUUCCACCAACAUCCCUCGUGCUGACCACAAAACCUUAGUUAAAGCAGGGAGGACCGCUGAUCCCAGCACAAUUCUCCUCUACUGACAAGGCAGAAAGCUGAACUGCUGUAUCUCAACAUGAGCUGCAACAGGAUUUACCCAAACAGCGACAGCCUGGGCCCUCGACAGCAUUUCAGUGCCCUGCUCUCACUGGCGUCGCACUGCAAUGCGAGGACAAUCCCGUGCUCUUGCAAAACACAUACUUUGCAUUUUCCAGUACAUUCCUGGGUAUGGUCAUUUCUGGAAAGAAAACAUCACAUGUUAGCUAUGAUCCUUCUGAGCAGGAAAACACAACCUGAAUUCUGGCCUUCUGAAUACAAAAGGAGCUCAGAUGGAGGCUCAAGUAUUUUCAAGGGCUGCUCUCGCAGUUGUUGUGGCUUACCCUGGGAAUUACUAGAAGGUAUUCCAAAAGCAAUUGUCUGGAAGAUCUGGAUUUCACUCUAGCUUUUUGCAGAACAAAUGACCUAAGAAGCUGUAUGCUGCAUAAAGUAAAUGUCAAAAAACAGAAAACAAGAGCUCCCAUUGCAAGUACCUGACUGAUGGUAAAAACGACUGUGUGUGUUCUCAGUAUGUAAAAUACAAUUUAUUGUAUUUAGGCCAUUCAUAAGUAUCAACACAAUGUAGCAUGUUUGGAAUAAAUAUCUUACCAAUAAAUACUAUCUAAACAUUAAUAUUAAUCUUUUGA